rnacentral:rRNA from 1 species
GGGUUCUACCGUCGGUCGGGCUACCAAGUUUGUACUGGUGUGUAGAAUUUCUACCUUCUGGGGAGCCAUCAUGUUAUUAAUUUAGCGUGGUGGGAAACCAGGACCUUUACCUUGAAAAAAUUAGAGUGUUCAAAGCAGGCUUAUGUCUGAAUACAUUAGCAUGGAAUAAUAAAAUAGGACGGUUUGGUUCUAUUUUGUUGGUUUCUGAAUCACCGUAAUGAUUAAUAGGGAUAGUUG